GGCGGCAUAGCCAAGUGGGAAGGCAGAGGUCUGCAAAACCUUUAUCACCGGUUCAAAUCCGGUUGCCGCCUCCA
rnacentral:tRNA from 1 species